GCGAGGCUGAAAAGCGUAGUCGAUGGAAAACAGGUUAAUAUUCCUGUACUUCUGGUUAUUGCGAUGGAGGGACGGAGAAGGCUAGGCCAGCUUGGCGUUGGUUGUCCAAGUUUAAGGUGGUAGGCUGAGAUCUUAGGUAAAUCCGGGAUCUUAAGGCCGAGAGCUGAUGACGAGUGUUCCUUUGGAACACGAAGUGGUUGAUGCCAUGCUUCCAAGAAAAGCUUCUAAGCUUCAGGUAACCAGGAACCGUACCCCAAACCGACACAGGUGGUUGGGUA
rnacentral:rRNA from 1 species